CAUGGCUCAGAUUGAACGCUGGCGGUAUGCUUAACACAUGCAAGUCGAACGGUAGCAGGCCUUCGGGCGCUGACGAGUGGCGGACGGGUGAGUAACGCGUAGGAAUCUGCCUCAUAGUGGGGGACAACGUGGGGAAACUCACGCUAAUACCGCAUACGCCCUACGGGGGAAAGCGGGGGAUCUUCGGACCUCGCGCUAUGAGAUGAGCCUGCGUUAGAUUAGCUAGUUGGUAGGGUAAAGGCCUACCAAGGCGACGAUCUAUAGCUGGUCUGAGAGGACGAUCAGCCACACUGGGACUGAGACACGGCCCAGACUCCUACGGGAGGCAGCAGUGGGGAAUAUUGGACAAUGGGCGCAAGCCUGAUCCAGCAAUACCGCGUGUGUGAAGAAGGCCUUAGGGUUGUAAAGCACUUUCAAUUGGGAG
rnacentral:rRNA from 1 species